AAGAUGGAGAGGAAGGUAGGGAUGAAAUAAGGAAGGAAGGAAGGAUACAUUUAUCUGUUGGAACAUGGUCACAGUCUCCGGGCGUACGUACGAGCGACAGUGGGCGCGCGCACAAAUACACACAUCCCAGACAACACGCACUAAACCUCUGUCCAAACUUUCCUCCCCUUCAGUCUGUGCGUGACUCGCCAAGUCGUGAGAGCGCAAGAAGAACUUUCCGCUCUCUAGCACGGCUUAAAUUCGCGUUUUAAUUCCGCUACCAAGAUUAGCCUGCUGUUUUAUGUGAGUGUGCUUUUCACUCGAGGCUUGUUCAGCAAUCGGCGACCCCGCCUACCUCAUCAGCUCUCUUUUGUUCUUUCUCCGUCCAAUUUCAUCUCCCGAACACAAGGUGCACCAUGGGAAACAAGAUCAGCAGAAGACGGGACACUGCACCAGCCGAGCAGAAGGCUGCAGAGGAGGCAAUCGACACGCAGGAAGCUGUGGUGGAGGCAGUAGCUGAUGCGCCAGUGGUGGUUGCAGAGGUGACUGAACCAGUAGUAGAAUCAGUGCCAGCACCGGUACAGGAGGCUGAGCCAGAGCCCCCCAAGCAGCCAGAGACUGCACCCUCAUUGGAGGAGCCGGUGAGCGUCCCACUAGUAGCCCCAGCACCACCUGAACCCGAGCCCCUGGUGUCAGUCAGCAAACCAGUGCCAGUCGCCCCGGAGCCAAAGCCAGUCGCCCCGGAGCCAAAGCCAGUCGCCCGGAGCCAAAGCCAGUCGCCCGGAGCCAAAGCCAGUCGCCCGGAGCCAAAGCCAGUCGCCCCGGCGCCAAAGCCAGUCGCCCCGGAGCCAAAGCCAGUCGUCAUAGAACAGGAGGCUGUCCCAGAGCCAAACCUCUCCCAGGAGUUCCUCCUACAGCCAGUCAUUCCAGAGACCCUCCCCUCCCCCACCCCUCUUCUGGACCUGGGUGUCCCUGAGCUGACCCCUGAGCCCCUCGAUGCUCCCCCCUCCCACAGAUCUGCCCCAGACCAGCCCACAGACCUGGGGGGUGCAGAAUGCUAUGACGACAACGUAAAGGGUGCCUGGAAUUCUGUCUCCGUCCCAGAAGAGUCCAAAGAAACCCCGGAGAAGCCAGCAACCAUGGCGGAGAAGCUUCUGUGUGAUGUCAUGGGCAGCGAGCUGAGCAAAGCGGAUUCUUCAACCACUUAGCCCUGACGGCCGAUGACAUCAUGGUCAAUGAUGUCAUAGCAGACGACAUUUCGGAAGGUGACGUGUCCACUGAGCUGAUAUGGGAGAAGAAAAUAAAAAUAAGAACUAGAAGAAAAAAAUGGACAAUGACGUUCUAAAAAAGGCAGACGCAAGCAGAAAAAAAAUGUAUAAAAAAAGAAUACAACUUUGAUCUGAGAAGGCUAAAGGGAAAACUAAGACCGUGAAGUAGCACUCAGAUAAUCUGAGACCUGGGAUGUAUUCCCUAGGAACCAAGUGUACGCAAACAGAAUUAAACUGGGUGGGACCUACAUGAAUUUGUCCAAUAGAAAUUCUAGUUUCUGUUGCGAAACAUUUUGGAAUAAUGAUUAGACCCCAGGUAAUAGACGUGCCUUUCUUUCUGAGUGUAGGUUGACUAAAGGGAUUUGGUGAUGGGUGGCCAGGGCAGAAGUGUACCCAUCAUCGCCCUCUGAGCCAUAUAGACAUAACACUGCAUAGCAGAACACUUACAGUAACUAUAUGUGGUAACUAUGUAUGACAAGACGUUUGCCUUGGUGUGUACACCUGAUGAAUUGUAACAACGUUUGAAAUUGGCCUACAUACUAUGAUGUACAUUCAUGCUUGGACUCUCACAAUCCUUCCUCUUUAACUCUGAAACGGAGGUGACCUUAUUAUAUUUCCUUGGAGGAAUGUAUUAAAGGUGAUGGUCUGGUUGUGAAAAUAAAAUAAGAUUGUUCCACCUUGAAGAUGAUUCUUUGUUUUCAUUCUUUUCUAAUGUGGUUUUUAGUCUUUAAAGAGGCCGAGGCCUGCAAGUGCAUUGUUUCUAAGACUGAC
ensembl:lncRNA